ensembl:lncRNA
AGAACAAGCAAUAGGAACUGAGGGGCCUUGGGGAGGCAGUGCCCGCUGUGGAGAAGGAAGCAGGGUGGGAUCUGGAUGGUCAAGUGUACUCAAGACUCCCUGGGGUCCGGCCCCACAGAGACGGUUGAUUAUACCUCCUGGCAAAACCCAGAGCCAUCAACAUCAAAGGUUAACUGGAGACACAGCAGUAAUACUAAUGCUGUAUCGUAACUACCCAUCACAGGGGAAGUCAAUACAAUUAUAUGAGUUUCCCUCAUAUCAUCCAGCUGUCUGAGGAGAGAAGACUUGAGGAAAAACCCAUGGCCAAGCGUACCCAGAGUUGGGCUUGGGUAUCAAGGGUAUAGACAAGAGCCAGCAGGUCAGUGGAACUCAAGAUGCAGCUUGGGUGUUUGAUCCUGCCACUGGGCUCUUCCCAGCAGCUCUCCUCACAUCCUCUCCUCCCCCUCUCCAGCCUGCCUCCUCAGCUGGAAAUGAUUGAGGACCUCCUGCAAAGGUUUGGAAGAAAGCCUUCAGCAGAGAGCGUUCACAGUGAAGGCAUCCAUAUCCGAU